rnacentral:rRNA from 1 species
GACGAAGGAUGCAAGCGUUAUCCGGAUUCAUUGGGUUUAAAGGGAGCGUAGGCGGAUAGGUAAGUCAGUGGUGAAAUCCCAUCGCUUAACGAUGGAACUGCCAUUGAUACUGCUUAUCUAGAGUACAGUUGCCGUUGGCGGAAUAUGACAUGUAGUGGUGAAAUACUUAGAUAUGUCAUAGAACACCGAUUGCGAAGGCAGCUAACGAAGCUGUAACUGACGCUGAGGCUCGAAAAGUGCGGGGAUCAAACAGG